UCUCUCUCUCUCUGGGCUGGAGAAACCAGGGGGUCGGGCAAGGCUAGAGCUCAAUUUGGCUAAGUCUUGCGGUGGAUAUGGUUGGAAUUGGGUUGACCUGUGAUUGGGACAGUGAGGUUAAGCAGCUAGGGUUCUGUAGCAAGGUGGAGUUUGGUCGGCUUGAAUAGAUAUGGGAAGAAGCAUUGGCUUUGCGAAUGGAAGCGGCGAUGGGAUCUCGGAUGGUUCGGCUAGGUCGUAUGAGAUGGAGAAGGGAGGAAGGUCGAGAAGCAGGUGAUAGGGGAUCGGAGGUGGCUACGGGGUCCUAAUUGGACUCGGUCGAAGCAGGAAAGCUCAGGUCGUGAGGCUUGCGGGUUUGAGUUUUGCAGUUGGAGAUCGAAGGGAGCAGAGGAUGAGGUAUGAAGGAGGAGAUCGAAGGCUUGCUGGAUGAGUUGUUAACGAGAGGACAAGCCGAGGUCUUCAUUCGCCGGGCUUUUAACAAUGCGAACAGAUCAGAUCUCCGCAUGUGAGUGACAGGAAGAAUCGACGCAUUGCAGACUGCAGAUUGGAUUUGAGCGAGAUUUGCGAUCAUUCAGCGCAGGAUAUCGGGAUGGCCUCGACAGAUUGCUCAUCCAUUGCCUUAAGUUCACAAACCUCACCUCCCGGACUGUUCAUGCACAAAGAGAAGAGAAAUGACGGGUUCUGCAGUCCGCACGUCUGAUUUCGCACGCUACCUGUUCAUGCACGAGCUUUCGCCUGGUUCCGCAGUCCGCACAACCUUGUUCAGGUAUGAGUCGCCUGAUUCAACAUGCCGUCAUUCACGCAUGAGCAUCGCCUGAUCCCGCUUUGUUUUCGUCGGAGGCCCCUCAAUCAAUCAAGUACAUUGCUGUUGAGCUGACCUUUUAUUUUUGUUGGUAGUAGUUUUUUCUUGAGCUAGCCAUUUAUUAGGAGCCAUAUUAGCUGAUCUCUUUAAGAUGUGAUAUGAUUUGCACUUUAGAACUAGAUCUGAAUGGAUUGAUAGUUUGUUUGACUAUUGUUGUGAUGAAGCUAUUGGUUUUUCAUGGAGAUUUAUUGAAAUAAGACUGUAAGUUUGAUGGUCUAUCUCAGAUGAGUCAAACAGUCAAUUGCUAGUGCUUCAUUCUUUAUACUGCCUGUGAUUUCAGGCGGGUUCUAAAUGUUCCUUUGUUCUUCGUGUGCAAGCGCUUGAGCUAUUAUAAAGACAUUCGAGAUUUAUUGAAUUGUAUGAUAAAAUAUUUUUGGUUGGAUUUUA